rnacentral:sRNA from 1 species
CCCUAGCCCAGAUUGUAAUGAAAAGUACGAGAAUCCAAAAGGGAUUUUUUGUUGCUACAAAAGAGCGACCAGCGGAAGCUCCUUUUGUGGCAAACAAAAAACCCUUUUGGAUGGAGGACUUGUAAUGGAAAGCUGGAUGAACU